GACGAACGCUGGCGGCGUGCUUAACACAUGCAAGUCGAACGCUGAAGCUUGGUGCUUGCACUGGGUGGAUGAGUGGCGAACGGGUGAGUAAUACGUGAGUAACCUGCCCUUGACUCUGGGAUAAGCCUGGGAAACUGGGUCUAAUACUGGAUACGACAUGUCACCGCAUGGUGGUGUGUGGAAAGGGUUUUACUGGUUUUGGAUGGGCUCACGGCCUAUCAGCUUGUUGGUGGGGUAAUGGCUCACCAAGGCGACGACGGGUGGCCGGCCUGAGAGGGUGACCGGCCACACUGGGACUGAGACACGGCCCAGACUCCUACGGGAGGCAGCAGUGGGGAAUAUUGCACAAUGGGCGAAAGCCUGAUGCAGCGACGCCGCGUGAGGGAUGACGGCCUUCGGGUUGUAAACCUCUUUCAGCACGGAAGAAGCGAAAGUGACGGUACGUGCAGAAGAAGCGCCGGCUAACUACGUG
rnacentral:rRNA from 1 species